rnacentral:lncRNA from 1 species
AGAGACUCAUUCAGACCUGGGGACAUCAGGUAGAGAGACUCAUUCAGACCUGGGGACAUCAGGUAGAGAGACUCAUUCAGACCUGGGGACAUCAGGUAGAGAGACUCAUUCAGACCUGGGGACAUCAGGUAGAGAGACUCAUUCAGACCUGGGGACAUCAGGUAGAGAGACUCAUUCAGACCUGGGGACAUCAGGUAGAGAGACUCAUUCAGACCUGGGGACAUCAGGUAGGAAGAGAAAGCAGAAAUGUUUUGGCCCUCAGGACCUGAAUAAUACUUUGACAUUGAAACACAACAGCUAUACAUAACUAGGUGAAAGCAGACCUGAUGCAACACACACACACAAUAAAACACACACACACACACACACACACACACACACACAAUCAGCACACGCACACACAAUCAGCACACGCACACACACGCACACACACACACAAUAAGCACACACACACACACACACACACACAAUAAACACACACACAAUAAGCACACGCACACGCACACACACAAUAAGCACACUGUGGUAAGACUGUUUUGGGUUGCAUUUUGUCUGCAUUUAGCCAAUCUGUAACAAUCAGAAGAAUAAAAUACACAUCCAAACAUCUUGACCUUUCAACAAACAGCAAGAUGGAAAUGAACCUUGUGAAGGAAACAGCAACAUAAAGUGUUUUAAUAGGAGGUAACUGGCAGAAUAAAGGAAACUCCAACAGUGUUUUAAUAGGAGGUCGGGUCGUCCACCAGGUAACUGGCAGAAUAAAGGAAACUCCAGGUCCUCCACCAACCACCAGGUAACUGGCAGAAUAAAGGAAACUCCAGGUCCUCCACCAGGUAACUGGCAGAAUAAAGGAAACUCCAACAUAGUGUUUUAAUAGGAGGUCGGGUCGUCCACCAGGUAACUGGCAGAAUAAAGGAAACACCAACAGUGUUUUAAUAGGAGGUCGGGUCGUCCACCAGGUAACUGGCAGAAUAAAGGAAACUCCAGGUCCACCAACCACCAGGUAACUGGCAGAAUAAAGGAAACUCCAACAGUGUUUUAAUAGGAGGUCGGGUCGUCCACCAGGUAACUGGCAGAAUAAAGGAAACUCCAGGUCCUCCACCAACCACCAGGUAACUGCCAGAAUAAAGGAAACUCCAACAUAGUGUUUUAAUAGGACGUCGGGUCCUCCACCAACCACCAGGUAACUGCCAGAAUAAAGGAAACUCCAACAGUGUUUUAAUAGGACGUCGGGUCCUCCACCAACCAGAACAGCUUUAAUACACCUUGACAUCGAUUCUACAAGUGUCUGGGAAGUCUAUCGGAGGGAUGAGACGCCAUUCUUCCACGAGGAAAUUCCAUCAUUUGGUGUUUUGUUGAUGGUAUUG